rnacentral:rRNA from 1 species
GAUGAACGCUGCCAGAAUGCUUAACACAUGCAAGUCUUUGGCGAAGCUGUGCUUGCACCGCCUAGCCAAGGCGGACGGGUGAGUAACGCGUAAGGAACUUGCCCUGCAGUCAGGGAUAACAGACGGAAACGACUGAUAAGACCUGGUAAAGUCAGGCGGACUCAUGUCCAGCCUGAUGAAAAGAGAUGCUGCAGGUGAGCCUUGCGUCCUAUUAGCUUGUUGGUGGGGUAACGGCCCACCAAGGCGAUGAUAGGUAGCCGGCCUGAGAGGGUGGACGGCCACAAGGGGACUGAGAUACGGCCCUUACUCCUACGGGAGGCAGCAGUGGGGAAUAUUGGACAAUGGGGGCAACCCUGAUCCAGCAAUUCUGUGUGCACGAUGAAGGUUUUCGGAUUGUAAAGUGCUUUCAGCAGGGAAGAAAAAAUGACGGUACCUGCAGAAGAAGCGACGGCUAAAUACGUG